rnacentral:rRNA from 1 species
AUGUCCACCAACGGCGGCGACUGCGCCGGGUUCAGGCUCUCCGGAGCACUCGUCCUCCUCCACUCCGGCGACCAAAUCACCCGGAUCCCGCGUCAUCUUCCACUCCAGCGGCGACUCAACUCAAGUUUGCAGAACACCGGAUCUGCCCAGGGCAAGGCCCUCGUCCACGAAUGUGGCCGGGAAAAUUCAUUUUCUUCAUUUUUUUGGUCGUUUGUUUCGUUGACCACUUUCCCAGGAGUCACAGACUUGAGCAACGUUGAUGGUCAAGUGUGUCGUGGCGGCGAGGCCACAUCCCUUGUCAGAUACGCUGGUUGCGGAGCUACAAGUGGCUGGACCAGAAGGAUUAGGAUCGGCAAUGCUCCUGAGGAGAGGGAGAUGAACCCCAACAGGAAAACAUCGCUACAAUUGUCUGUGCGUGCUUAUGGAGAGAAGGGUGUAUCAACCGUGGUGUUGUUGGACACCAGAACUGUCUUUUAUGCCCUUCCCUGA